rnacentral:rRNA from 1 species
GGUUAAGCGACUAAGCGUACACGGUGGAUGCCCUGGCAGUCAGAGGCGAUGAAGGACGUGCUAAUCUGCGAUAAGCGCCGGUAAGGUGAUAUGAACCGUUAUAACCGGCGAUUUCCGAAUGGGGAAACCCAGUGUGACUCGUCACACUAUCAUUAACUGAAUCCAUAGGUUAAUGAGGCGAACCGGGGGAACUGAAACAUCUAAGUACCCCGAGGAAAAGAAAUCAACCGAGAUUCCCCCAGUAGCGGCGAGCGAACGGGGAGGAGCCCAGAGCCUGAAUCAGCAUGUGUGUUAGUGGAAGCGUCUGGAAAGGCGCGCGAUACAGGGUGACAGCCCCGUACACAAAAGCGCAUGUGCUGUGAGCUCGAUGAGUAGGGCGGGACACGUGGUAUCCUGUCUGAAUAUGGGGGGACCAUCCUCCAAGGCUAAAUACUCCUG